AUGCGAGGGCGAACCGUGCUUUAUAGGAAAUAGAAAUAAGAUUGGGCACUUUGAAAGACUAACGAGAUCCCUUGCGGCAUCGGUUUCUUGGAAGUGCAGAGCUCUCGUCAUCAGUAAUGAAGCAUUUCCUCAUUUAUUAUUAUUAUAUUUACUAGGCAGCCGACGGGGUGCACAAAAGCUUAUGACACACUGUGGUGGCGAUCCGUCCUACCAUGGUUGCUUGCCUGGGAGAAAGCCCCAUUGAAUCCAGUGGGGCUUACUUCUGAGGAAACGUGUAAAGACAGUGCAGCUGUGUGAAUUCUUUAAGGUCCCACCCAACUUCCGGUGCUCCAAAGUAAACUACAUUAUUCUGUGUAUGUGCAGUAGGGUUUAUUUAUAGGACUGCAGCAGCCUGCCAGUGCAGAUCAACUCUCUGCAUGUUGACUUAGGUGCAAGUCCCACUGAUCAAUGGGGCUAAUUUUCAAGGAGAAGCUUCACUAAGCUUACUUCCCAGUAACUGUGCAUAUUUGACAAAUCAGGCUCCUCCCCCCCUUAAUUGCAGCAGACUGUCACUGCUACCCCUCUGGAAUUCAUCCCAAGCAGUGCCCCAGCUGGUCAAUCAAUUAUAUUUCAAAGCAUUAGGUGAAUCACUCUCCUAAAUAAAUAACGCUGAUGGCUUGUUAUUUUUAUUAUUUGCUUUUAUCUUAUACUUAUGACACAUCAAAAAUCUGAAAUAACUGUUUGGUUUUUUUUAAAAGGUAGAAUCAAAAGGAGGUGGGAAUAGAUUACAUGCAGCCCUGGACUCUCAAGAUGAGCAGAGACCCUCAUUUACGGUUUGCAACAACACCGCCUGGACAAGAGAUGAUUAUUACAGCAGGGGAGAUUUCCCAGUUGGGUUGCCAGAUGUCCCUUAUUUCAAAAGCCAUCCUUCAUGUAAAAAGGAUUGUCCUUUAUUGCAGCUCAUCCAAGGGCUCAACAGACACAAUAGAGAGGAUCCUUGUUUCGCAUUGCACAGCUCCAUGGAACAUCAGAGAUAUCAUAAGCUGAGGUUAGAAAGGCUUUGAUAACAAUUUAUCCCUUAAUUCUAUUAAGUGUUGUUGGUUAUUUGUUUACAACAUGUAUAUGCUUCCCCAUAACCAGACUCCUUGUGGUGGCUUUCUGUGAAAAGAGUAAAAUACAAUUCAAACCUAAUAAAAAAACAAAUGCAGCAUGAACAACAAAUUAGACAACAGAAACCGUUAAAAAAACACACACAGCAAGACUGCCAAGCAGCACAAGCAGAUCUUAAAAAUGUCAGUGACACAGGCUCCUCAGAAAUCCUUUUAAUUCUGUAUUCGUUAUGUUUCCAUAAUGUUAUUGGGAUGGUCAUAGAUAAUCCCGCUUUCAAUACUGCUUGCAUCUGCAAAAGUUUGGGGGCUUCAGUUCUGAUCAGUGCAUAUCGCAUAACUGGAAAUCCUGUAACUUUUUAUACCACAAAUCUGGUUUAUUUUUGUCCCACGUUUGUUGCUCUGCAGGCCUUCUGGAUAGCAAUAAUAUGUUAUAGCAUUAGGGAAGCAUCACAGAACAAACUAAAACAGAAUAAACCCAUCAUUAAUGCACUAUUGGGAUUACAAGAACAUGUUGCAGAAUACCCCUGCAAUAAAACAUCAAUCUGGAUAGGCCCAUACCCUGCAAAACCUUAACAUCUCUCAAGGCUGGUUAAGUAUUACAUUCAGGCAAGGUAGAGGGCAAAGGAAGGUACUGAGCAGGAAAUUGAAAGUGUUAUUUGACCUUAAAAAGGUAAUCAUUACCUUUGCAAAGCAACAACAUUCUACAGCGUAAGGAUAUUAUUGCAUGAUUAUUUUAAGGAUAUUAUUCGUUGAGUAGGAGUAAUCAAAAUGUGGAUGCGACAUCCCUUGGAAGUAAACACAGCCAAUUCCCUGAAUAAUAAAAGCACCAAAAAUGUCAAGUUGUCAUUGGGUAAUUUUUCUCCCUCUCUCAUAACACUAGUACUCGUGGACAUCCAAUGAAACUGAAUGUUGGAAGAUUCAGGACAGACAAAAGAAAGAGAGUUAGAGAAAUUCACUGAGGAUAAGGAGGCUGUGUUUUCUCCCUCCACUGUCAGAGACAGUAUGCCUCUGAAUACCAGUUGAUGGGAAUCACUAGUGAAGAGAUUGCUGUUGUGCUCAGGUCCCGCUUGUGGAUUUCCCAUGGGCAUCUGGUUAGCCACUGUAAGAACAAGAUGUUGGACUGGGUGGGCCAUGGUCCUGAUCUAGCAGGGCUCUUCUAUUGCUCUGCUCCUUUUUGCAUCUGGCCCCACCCAUCCUUUGGGCCUCAGAAGGUUGUCCACAAUGGAAUGUGACCUUCAGACUGAAAAUUGUCCCCCCACCCCUCAUCUACUAUGUUGGCUGGCAGUGGCUCUAGUCUCUCCUGUUCUAGACUAGAGUUUGUCCCAGCUCUACUUGGAGAUACCAACGCGACUUGCAUGCGCACUAGGUGCUCGCUGAGCUACAGCUCUUUUCUACAGAGACGCACACUUGCUCUCCCACCUUACCUGUCCCAUCUGCAACAUCCCCACAUGUCUAGUGUUCUAAUAUGGCUUAAUUGCACAGCAUUCAAUGUGCCUAGGCCAAAACGACAUGGUUGAUUAUUAGACUAUAGUAAGAAAAUUGAUCAAGUGGUGUUGUGUUUUGCUCAUCCCGAUUGGCAUAUGAAUGUGAGCUCUCUGCAUGGAGCAUGUGGGCCAGACUGGGGGAAAAUAUUAUCCAGGCCAGCCCAUACACUGAUGCCCCAGCAGGGUCUUCAGUUUGUCUGGGAGGUCAGCUCUAGAGCUUAGUUAGCAUUGUGGUUAAUCCAUUCAUGGCUUAGUCAUGGCACAUCUUUUUGGACUGAUGAAUUAGAAAAGGACCAAGUGCCCCCUGCUGGUUGGCAGUGGCACACUAACCUCAUCCUAACCACAGACACUUAGAAAUAAGGAUGUGCAAAUCAGUCCAUUAUGGCUUCUCUCUGUUUCUCCCCCAAUUUUAAGUUCAGUCCUCCAUACUGCCACAUCAGUUUGUGAUUUUAUCAGCAUCUUAGAGCAGAUUUAUUCAAAUCUGCACAUUUUUGCAAAACACUUUCCCCUAAUAUAAUGCAUUUUGUAAGUUCUUUUCACUGAUACAUGCAUUUAUGCACAUUUAUGCACUUUCCCAGAGUAUAUGGAUUUUUGCACACAUUACUCAGCUGGGGAACUGCAUUACAAAAUCCUGGGAAGUGUGAAUCUUGAAGGAUGGCCAUGUUUCAGUUUGCCUAUUGUUUUGGAAAGUUCAAAUCAAGUAGGUUUGCCUUUAAAUGUGAACAGAAUUAAAUUUAUCCCCCAUCCCUACUUGGAAAUAUGUUCCAUUGGAUUCAGUGCAACUGAAAUUCACAGUAAGGUUGCUUAGGAUUGCAGGCUUUCACCCUGCCCAUUGGGCAAUUGUCAACAGUCCAUCCUCCUUUGCUGCCUAAAAUAACAUUUGAAAUUAAUGACUCCUGGGAUAGGCAUGUCUGUUAGUUUCAGUAGGUCUAUUCUGAGUAGGACCAGCACUUUUAUACAACCCAGUGAUACAGCAGGGAACAGUGAUGGGAUUUGGGCUUUAAAAUUUCAAUGGCACCCUAUGUGACACCAAAAUUCGGUGCCCCCUACCACUCACCUUCCAUUGUUUGUCGUUGUUGCAGCGCCCCCUGCAGGACCCUCUUGGCUCAGCAUCCAGUGCAAGUGAACUGGUCCCUUAAAUCUGCCUAUGUUUUGAUCGCAGCAAAAUGGAAGAGUAAUGAAAUCCCCUCUAUACAAGAUUGGAUCCAAAAGCUGACAGAAUAUGCCGAAUUAGAUGGUUUAUCAGAAAAAAUAAAGAAUAAAUCAAAACAGGAAUUUGUUUCAAAAUGGAAG
rnacentral:lncRNA from 1 species